rnacentral:tRNA from 1 species
GCCUUGGUAGCUUAGUGGUGGAGCUCCUGACUAAAGUUGCAGGAGUCUUGGGUUCGGUUCCCGAUCCAGCCA